UGGGUGAGUUGGUGCAUAGCUAAACGCAUGAAUUGUGGUGCAAGGUUGAAAAAAAAAGUAAAGCCAAAAAGGAGACAGGAUAGGGUGCCAAACUUUCAACUAGUUUUAGUUCUAGCACAUCACCAAAAUAUAUCUAUUUCCAAAAAAAUAUGUGCACAAAGACAUGGUGCAGCACGUGUCACAAGCUACCUCACUGCAUUAUCUAAAAACGAACAUUCACUUUUGUAGAGGUCAACAAAGGGCACACUGAUACAACCAUCACCCUUCUUCCUUAUGUGAUAUGCCUCGAGCAAUUCACGUGCUAACACUACUCUGCUUCUUCCUACCACACGUGUCGUCAAACCAUGGAGCACAGCCAUGCGAGGAACAAUGGAACGGCAGGUGUGAACCCACACCAUUUUAAUCAAUAAAACAUGCUCUUUUAGGCGGUCAUUAACACAGCGGCCUGUUUGGCCUGUAUAAGACUUGCCACAGCUCAACGGAAUUUCAUAUACGACGCCCACCAUGCAACGCAGUACGGGUGGUUUUCUCGGCCCCUAAAGUUGUCUAAGCUUUGCGCCCGCAUUUCUUCCCAAAAGCCCAAGCUUCCGUGCGGAAAGAAGCAUGCCAGUAAGCCAGAGUAAGCAAGCUUCUUUAGUAUUGCUUAAACUGGGCAUUAGAUGAGCUGUGGGUAGGUAUAAACAUCUGUGUUGCAAUCUUGCAUUUCCCUUGUAUUCCUUUGGGUGGUUGGUUGGUUAUUCACUUUCUUACUUUCUGCAAUUACUUUGUGCUGCAGACCUCUGUCUUCAGUACUUCAAGUUAUACUUUCAUGUGGCAGGUAUUUUCCAUAGCUAUAGCUGUCCACAACAAGGUGCUCAACUGAAGAUCUGACGCGUAUGUUCAUAACUAUUUUUCUGCAAUGUCCGAGUAUACCUUUACUGUUUGCUAAAGUAAAGUUUAAGUGAAGUAAAUGAGUAAUUGGCAGACUGGAAUUUGUUUUCAGUCUGUGAAGCCACUGAUGGUGAGUUUUCCUACACACUUGUGAGAGAGAGGGGGGGGAUGGUGACUUAAACUCUAUAAACCGUUUCCCGUGGCUGAAAUUGCCAAUGUUAAGUCGCUGCUUGUUGCGUAGAGACUCCACAUAGAGAUCCUAAGAGGGAUGCCACUCAUAAAAACUGCAGUCAAAUUCGACAAUUCGUAGCUUGGCUGUCUUGACUGUAGGUCCGACAUGUCUAUACUCUUUUCUUGGUGGCUCUAUUCGUUAGAUUAACCACAUUAGUGGAAGCAACCAUGUUCUAAACUUCUAUAUGGCAAUACUUCUGAGUUUGUUAGACAAAAGGACUCUAGGUAGCUCUUUAUUGAUUACUGUUCUGCUUUGAAAUUGUCAUUGCCUGUCUGUUCUAUGACAUUGUUAAUAAAGCUGUUGCGAAGCGGGAUCUUUCCUUUCAAAGGGGCAGAAUUAAUGUCUUGCACUUCACGAACAGCUUGCAACAUAAUGUUGAUGUCAUUCAUGACUUUCAAGCAGCUCGGGCUUGUCUCUGCUUUCUCCUGCAUGGAUUCAUUUGAUGAAGGCCUUGAAUGCAGAAUCAUUGUGGUACAUGAUUGAAAGUGUGUCAGUUCUUCAGGUAGAGAAGCCGGUAGGUAUAGCACAUUCAUUCCCCAAACCGGGAUAUGCUGGCAUUCAUCAGUUUUGUCCAGCAUUGCCUACAAAUUUUGGGGAAAAUAAUAUGCGAGAUUUCUCACUGAUUUUGUUUGUAUUUCAUAGUGCUGGGGAUUUCAGUAUAUAACUGGUGUUGGUCUGAAGUACCGAUUGACACAAAUUGUGUGAUUGCAUUAUGUGCGCUGUGGCAAAUAAUUAAACUGUUAAUUAGUGCUUGAUUAAGCACUACAAGCAAGUACUGUGCCUUGAAGUUAUGAUCUGCACUGAAAAUUACAUAGUCUGCAUAACAUAUACAAUACCUUAUGUAUUAUUAUAUUGGGAAAAAAGUACUUAACCUAUUUUAUGUGUAAAAAUGCGCAUCAUUUUACUUUUACUUUUUUAUCAUACUUCUGAGCACGAAGCGGCGGCCGCAUCGCCAUGGACACUAGUCGUGAGCAAAACACGGUAAUGGCGGCAACAGAAAGUCGGAUUGAAGUGUAAAGUGAGGUUUCUUUUCAGUAUUUUUACGCAUUCUCUAAACUUCUGAACGUGUUUUAACACGUGUGCAAGUGCAGCGGCUUAUUCCGCUACUGAUUUUUGUAUGAAUAUUGCUUUGACCGGCAAUGCUUGUCCACUGCGUCUGGCUUCUUAUUCUAUGACUGGGUCAGAUCCUGAAAUUCGCGUGCUUGCCAACACAAAGGUCUUCCAGGCAGACGAUUCUUCAGAGAGUCCUCGUAGUCGUCCGGUGACACUUUGCACUCAGGGAGGCCAACUUAGGAAUACAUCGGUUUAUUGUAGGACAAAGUAGCAUACAUCGACGAGCGGCGGCUGAUUAUCGGCUGGCUCCUUCCCUCUUCAUCUCUACACACUUUUUUAAGGGAUCAUCAACAAUACACGCUGUACCCGCCCCCAUUUUCUAGUCCGGUUUUUGGAACACGCAGACCAACAUCACUUAAACGAACACCACAUGGCCCUCUUGCUUGAAGUUCACACGCCUCAGUGCAGUUGCCCCGGUGCAAUGGCAAGCCCCGCGAACACAUAAAUCACCCCUCGAGCCACUAACCCUGGACAUGCCGCAGAAUCACACUUGAGCAUGACAUUGCCGUCAAGUUUCCCGUUACAUACGUAUGCUAGACGACGUAAACUGUCUCCCACACCGCAAAGGGAAUGCCGCCACCCCCGGCAGUGCCUGUGUUUAUGUUAGCCCCCAAGAAUGCGCCUAUAUGCCACUGAGUGAUAUGCGCGCGGUGAGGUGGCUGCUUCGCUUCUCGUUAUGUACGCUUCUCCGUUAAAUGACCGUAUAUCUUGGACACCGCAGUGGAAGUGCACUAUCCCUAGCGGUCCCGGUCACUGUUCUAAGAACCCAAACGACGUCAGCUGUGAAAGAAUAAACAACCUGCGUUAGUGUCAUGCAUGUGGCCCCCGGGCUCCAACUUGGGCCAACUUAACUGCAUGUAAAUAAACUAUUUUCAUGAAACUAUUGUCUUUUUAUUUGCAAUUCUAUGGUUAGCUUUAUAUAUUAAAAAAUGCUACCACCACCUUGACUACGUGCUGCGAGUGCGUGUGGCUUGCUUGCAUUUGGGGAUGCAAAGCUAUAAUGCUUUUUUGCUUGGGCACGCAACCACACACAUACUAAAAGAUAGGGACUCCUGAAUGCUUCGAUAGCACAAUCUAAAGCUCUCAUUUAUGUUACUGCAUAAUCUUAUUUGUGAUAUGUACUAUCACAAUGGCAUAACAGCAAAGCACAUGGCUUUCGAUACAUGCUCCACAUGCGCAGAUAUGGUGCUUGCGGCUUUGGCACCACAGCGCUUGAAAAAGGUGUCCUUCACAGGACACAUUCGGGGAGUUAUGCCCCCACCUACUCGAUAUACAUGGGUCUAGCCCACAACGAGACCAACAAGGUGACAAUAGCAGGGUGGGCCAUCAUGCUAGCUAGGAGGACUUCGGUCUGAGGAUGACUUGACGUGAAUGGGUACAGGAUUUGUAGCGACCUGGUCAUGGAUGGUGGUUCUGCAAGCCAGUAUGUGGUGCUACACCCAGUGUGAGUAAGGCACUCUUGGGCAAGGUGCUCAGCGGAUCUGUUUGGCAGGACACAAGUAUUGCAGCGGUGGCGAAAUGGUCGAGCGUCUUCCUCGUAUGCAGGGAGGUACUUGGUUAGAAUCCCAGUGCCACUGGGAACCUAUCAGAUUUUUAUUGGGUAGAGAUGUCCUCCGGCUUGGUGCUCAGUUGUUUGUAGGAGUUUUCAUGUCGAAAGGGGCGCUAUAGAGAUUUGAAAGGUGCCCCUUGUCUCACCACAACGAUGGUGACCCAGACGAGCAUUUGCCACUGCUGUGGGAGGCUGAGUAGCGCUGCCGCCUGGUACCCACCGGUAAAAUAGGUAUAACUGUGCUUCCGGUCAGGUGCUCAGCCAUUACGGGAUACUUGGAAAGGGGUGUUUCUUUCCAAUCCAAGGGCAUCCCCACCUAACAGCUGCAUUAGGAUGCCACACAGGAAACUGCUGCCGUGGAAGCAGCCCAGACCCAUUUUCUUUAACCCUUGGAGGGCCCCUUGCAAGAUGAGAACUCGUAGAAGGUGCCGAGCACUGGGCCAGGGGACACCUAUACCCAUUAGAACUGGCGAGUUUCUGGCAGUGAACAGCGGAUGAUAAGAGUGGUAUAGAAUCGAACGGAAGGAAUAAUCUAUAUUAUCCUGGCCCAGGGACGGGGGGGGGUAUUCUGUAAGAGUCCACCUAGUGGACUGUCCACUUCGGCUGUCGCCAUUAGCGCCAGCUUCACGAGCACGAAGGUGCCAGCCAGUCUCCUUCGCGCUCGUGAAGCUGGAGCCAAUGGCGACAGGUGAAGUGGACAGUCCAGGUGAACUCUUACAGAAUACCCCCCUAGAUCUCAGUUAUUGUGCAGAUAU